CUCCUACGGGAGGCAGCAGUAGGGAAUCUUCCACAAUGGACGAAAGUCUGAUGGAGCAACGCCGCGUGAGUGAAGAAGGUUUUCGGAUCGUAAAACUCUGUUGUUGGAGAAGAACGUAUUUGAUAGUAACUGAUCACGUAGUGACGGUAUCCAACCAGAAAGCCACGGCUAACUACGUGCCAGCAGCCGCGGUAAUA
rnacentral:rRNA from 1 species